rnacentral:rRNA from 1 species
UAGGGAAUCUUCGGCAAUGGACGAAAGUCUGACCGAGCAACGCCGCGUGAGUGAAGAAGGUUUUCGGAUCGUAAAACUCUGUUGUUAGAGAAGAACAAGGACGUUAGUAACUGAACGUCCCCUGACGGUAUCUAACCAGAAAGCCACGGCUAACUACGUGCCAGCAGCCGCGGUAAUACGUAGGUGGCAAGCGUUGUCCGGAUUUAUUUGGCGUAAAGCGAGCGCAGGCGGUUUCUUAAGUCUGAUGUGAAAGCCCCCGGCUCAACCGGGGAGGGUCAUUGGAAACUGGGAGACUUGAGUGCAGAAGAGGAGAGUGGAAUUCCAUGUGUAGCGGUGAAAUGCGUAGAUAUAUGGAGGAACAACAGUGGCGAAGGCGGAUCUGUGGUGUGUAACUGACGCUGAGGCUCGAAAGCGUGGGGAGCAAACAGG